UGGGGAAUCUUGCGCAAUGCGCGAAAGCGUGACGCAGCAACGCCGCGUGGGGGAAGAAGGCCUUCGGGUUGUAAACCCCUUUCAGGAGGGACGAAGCCUGGUCGGUUAAUAGCCGGUCCAGGUGACGGUACCUCCACAAGAAGCCCCGGCUAACUACGUGCCAGCAGCCGCGGUAAUACGUAGGGGGCUAGCGUUGUCCGGAAUUAUUGGGCGUAAAGAGCGUGUAGGCGGCGCGAUAAGUCCGUUGUGAAAGUCGAGGGCUCAACCCUCGAAUGCCGGCGGAUACUGUCGCGCUAGAGUCCGGAAGAGGCGAGUGGAACUCCUGGUGUAGCGGUGAAAUGCGCAGAUAUCAGGAAGAACACCGAUGGCGAAGGCAGCUCGCUGGGACGGUACUGACGCUGAGACGCGAAAGCGUGGGGAGCGAACAG
rnacentral:rRNA from 1 species